rnacentral:rRNA from 1 species
GACGAACGCUGGCGGCGUGCUUAACACAUGCAAGUCGAACGGAAAGGCCCUGCUUUUGUGGGGUGCUCGAGUGGCGAACGGGUGCGUAACACGUGAGUAACCUGCCCUUGACUUUGGGAUAACUUCAGGAAACUGGGGCUAAUACCGGAUAGGAGCUCCUGCUGCAUGGUGGGGGUUGGAAAGUUUCGGCGGUUGGGGAUGGAUUCGCGGCUUAUCAGCUUGUUGGUGGGGUAGUGGCUUACCAAGGCUUUGACGGGUAGCCGGCCUGAGAGGGUGACCGGCGACAUGAGGACUGAGAUACGGCCCAGACUCCUACAGGAGGCAGCAGUGGGGAAUAUUGCACAAUGGGCGGAAGCCUGAUGCGGCAACGCCGCGUGCGGAAUGACGGCCUUCGGGUUGUGAACCGCUUUCGCCUGUGACGAAGCGUGAGUGACGGUAAUGAGUAAAGAAGCACCGGCUAACUACGUG